GCUGGGCGUGGUGGUGGGUGCCUGUAAUCCCAGCUACUCGGGAGGCUGAGGCAGGAGAAUCGCUUGAACCUGGGGGGCAGAGGUUGCAGUGAGCUGAUUGCGCCACUGCACUCCAGCCUGGUUGAUGAGAGUGAGACUCCAUCUCAAAAAAAAGAAAAAAAUAUUUUUUGAGACAGGGUCUCACUCUGUUGCCCAGCCUGGAGUGCAGUGGUGCAGUCAGCUCACUGCUUGCUCGACCUCCUGGGCUCAAGCGAUCCUCCUGC
rnacentral:lncRNA from 10 species